rnacentral:rRNA from 1 species
UACGCAGGGAGCAAGCGUUGUCCGGAAUCAUUGGGCGUAAAGCGCGCGUAGGUGGCUUCGUAAGUCCGUUGUGAAAGUCAAAGGCUCAACCUUUGAAAGCCGAUGGAUACUGCGGAGCUAGAGUACGGAAGAGGCGAGUGGAAUUCCUGGUGUAGCGGUGGAAUGCGCAGAUAUCAGGAGGAACACCAAUAGCGAAGGCAGCUCGCUGGGACGUUACUGACACUGAGGCGCGAAAGCGUGGGGAGCAAACAGG